rnacentral:rRNA from 1 species
GAUGAACGCUGGCGGCGUGCCUAAUACAUGCAAGUCGAGCGAACGGACGAGAAGCUUGCUUCUCUGAUGUUAGCGGCGGACGGGUGUGUAACACGUGGAUAACCUACCUAUAAGACUGGGAUAACUUCGGGAACCGGGGCAAAAACCGGAAGAAGUUUUUGAUCCCAUGGGUGAAAAGGUAAAUAUCGGCGUUCGGGGAAUUAUAGGAGGAUUCGCGCUGCGUUAGUUAGUUGGUAAGGUAACGGCUUACCAAGGCAACGAUGGAUUGCCGACCUGAGAGGGUGAUAGGCCACACUGGAACUGAGCCACGGUCCAGACUCCUGCGGGAGGCAGCAGUAGGGAAUCUUCCGCAAUGGGCGAGAGCCUGACAGAGCAACGCGGAGUGAGUGAUGAAGGUCUUCGGAUCGUAAAGCUCUGUUAUUAGGGAAGAACAUAUGUGUACGUAACUGUGCACAUAUUGACGGUACCUAAUAAGAAAGCCACGGCUAACUACGUG